GGGCUCUCUCUUUUCCGAUUGAGGAGUGUACUUUGCAUCCUCGCUCCCUCUAUCUCCACAUAACAGAAACGGCGGCGUUUUCUCUUUCUCAUCGGUAAGCCGUAAUUUAUCUUUUUCUGGCUGCUGCCAGCUGCUCUAUCCCCACUUCGAGAUCGAGAUUUUAUCACUUGGCUCUCUCUCUUUCUCGUUUUUUUAAUUUCCAGGGUUUCGAAUCUCUAUCUUUUAUAUCCCUUUGAUUUUCGAGCAAGUUUGGAACUUAAUAUAUUAUUUUUAGGGUAUUCGAAUUGAUGUUUUUUACCUCUUUAAUGCUUAGCUUUUGUGCUACUUUGGGGUUUCAAAUUACUUGCCUUAGGGUUAGGUAAUUUAGUUUUCGUGAAUUUGGGAUAGCUUGAAAAAAAGUGGCGGGAUUAGGGUUCUAUAGGCGUGAAUAAAGGGUAGUUGGAUUGCAAUUAGGGUUUUGUAUUGUGAAGCUUUGAGUUUUGGAUAUAUGGCCGCUGGGAGACACGGGGGUUAUCACGAUAAUGAAUUCAAGGACCAGGAGUCUGAUUUUGAACUAUUAAAAGAGGAUUUUGCUUAUUCCAAGGAUCAAUAUGAUAGAAUUGGGAAUGGUAAUGCUGAAAAUGAUAGGGGUCAAGUUCAUCACUUAAGAGAUAGUGCUAGGGUUAGGCAGAAGGAUAUUAAGGAGACGGGCGUGACUAAUGGUGGGUAUCGGUCCUCUUCCAGCAGGAGUGAUUCAGGAAGUAGUGGUGGUGGUGGUGCCCUAAGGUCACGGAGGUGUGGGUUUUCUGUCAGGGCCACUGAUAAGGAGCCAGGUGAGUUGUCCAGUGAGAGUGGGUCUGAUGAUGCCAUUGACCCUGAGUCACAUGCUCAUAAAGGUAGUGAGGUUUUGAAAGUAACACCAGUGGAGAAGAAGAGGAAGUUUUCUCCUGUAGUUUGGGAUAGAGAUGAUAAAGCUACCAGUAGCUUAUCAAAAAGUUGGAGUUCCCCUGCAGCGGCCGCUCUCCCUCCACCGCCACCCCUGCCUAAGGCAUACCGCCAGUCACCUAAUGUUAUUCCAGAUGGAGGUGUAGAGAUUUCUCCUGUUAUAAGCAGUAAAAACCUGACUCUGCAGUCUUCUUCACCACUGAAGGGUUCGGUGGUUAAAGGGUCUGCUGGCAAUUCUGCAUCUAACUCUCCAGUAGAGUUGGCUUUCUCGCUGAAGGGUUCGGUGGUUAAAGGGUCAGUUGGCAAUUCUGCACCUGAGUCUUCGAUAGAGUUGGCUUCCUCACCAGUGGAGGAGCAAUGGGGUAAUGACCAGGAAGCACAGCACAUAGAAGAUGAAGAUUAUGCUCCAAUGAGGAAUAUAUCAUCUUCACGAUGGGCAGAUGGGAACAAUUCUCCUGUUGAUGAGGGUGAAAUUGUGGAGGAUCAAGAAGUUCCUAAAAGGAGGAAGAAGAUGCCUCAUUUGGAGUCCUUGGAUUUCAGAGUUCGCAACAAGUCAUCGACGCCUGAUCCGGGGGAUCUUAGAAGAGAAGGAUCUGACGCAGCUAGAGGGAGGUCAUCUGAAUCUGAUGAGCGAGGCACCUGUGCUAGGUCUUCAAGUGGGGAUGAUCAUCCUGGUAAUGAUUCUGGGAGGGAUGACUACAUGGAAAUUGAUGACGAACAUGAUAACAAUGAUUCUGAUACAGAUCCUGAGGAUGAAGAUGAAAAUGAUUCGCAUGAAACACCAGAACCUGCUGGUCCACCUCAAAGAAGUAUAAACAUGCUUCAGGGAUGUAGAAGUGUUGAUGAGUUUGAGAGAUUGAAUAAAAUAGAUGAAGGCACUUACGGUGUUGUAUAUAGAGCUAGGGACAAGAAAACUGGGGAAAUUGUAGCACUGAAGAAGGUAAAGAUGGAGAAAGAACGGGAAGGUUUUCCACUGACUUCUCUCAGGGAAAUAAACAUUCUUCUUUCUUUUCAUCAUCCGUCAAUUGUUGAUGUUAAAGAAGUUGUGGUAGGGAGUAACCUUGAUAGCAUUUUUAUGGUGAUGGAGUACAUGGAACAUGACCUUAAAGGACUCAUGGAGUCUAUGAGACAGCCAUUUAGUCAGAGUGAGGUUAAAUGCUUAAUGCUCCAGUUGUUGGAAGGUACGAAGUAUCUUCAUGAUAAUUGGGUGCUUCAUCGAGAUCUGAAGACAUCAAAUCUGCUUCUGAACAAUCGUGGUGAGUUGAAGAUCUGUGACUUUGGGUUGGCUCGUCAAUAUGGGAGCCCAUUGAAACCGUAUACUCAUUUGGUAGUUACCCUGUGGUACAGGGCGCCAGAACUACUUUUGGGAGCCAAACAAUAUUCAACGGCAAUUGACAUGUGGUCACUUGGCUGCAUUAUGGCUGAAUUGUUAUCAAAGGACCCUCUGUUUAAUGGCAAAACAGAAGUUGAUCAACUUGACAAGAUUUUCCGAAUCCUUGGUACACCUAAUGAGACAAUCUGGCCUGGGUUUUCCAAGUUACCUGGAGUGAAGGUCAAUUUUGUCAAGCAGCAGUAUAACCUACUCCGUAAGAAAUUUCCAGCAACAUCCUUCACUGGAUCACCGGUGCUUUCUGAUUCUGGAUUUGAUUUGUUGAACAAGCUUCUAACCUAUGACCCUGAGAAGCGGAUUACUGCUGAAGCUGCUCUUAACCAUGACUGGUUUCGUGAAGUUCCUCUUCCAAAGUCUAAAGAUUUUAUGCCUACUUUUCCUGCUCAGCAUGCUCAAGACAGGCGUCUCCGAAGAAUGAUGAAGAGUCCAGAUCCUUUAGAAGAGCAGCGGAGAAAGGAGUUGCAACAAGGGGAGUUAGGGACUGGUGGUUUGUUUGGCUGAGAGAUUAGUUGGUCAACCUUGGCUCUGAGCUUAAUUCUUCCAUUUUGCAUGCUACUGACACAAGAUGAGGUUGAGGUGAGAGACUUCCAUUGAAAGGAAGUUGCGAACAUUGUUUCUGAGACGAUCAUUUGUACUUUUCUUAGCAGGCCUCUGUGGUGAUUUGGGUGAAGAAAAUAUUUGCCUCCUGCCAUCAACCAGUUAUGUUUCAGGUUAACUCUGCUCUCCAGCUUUGUUAACAUAUAGAUGUGCCUGGGGCCCUGCUUUCAUCGCAAGGUGUGGCAUAAUGGCUUUUCAUUUUAAAAUAUCAGUUCCAGCUGAAACCAUUUGGUGUGAAGUCCUGGAGACGUUCUUAGCUUUUCAUUGAUGAAGAAAUAGGCAAUAACAUAGAAUGUCAAAGCAUGCGCGAGCAAAUAUGAAGCCUUUCAUCCUGUUUUACAUUUGAUGAUGUGAAAGAUGAAGAUUUGACCCAUCAGAAUGCUUUUAUGACAUUGUCUGUGGAUGUCACUGCAGUAUCAAAGCUAGCAGGUCGGGGAGGUUACCUGAUGUGGAUUUUAUAGAACUUUCAGUUAGUUGUCUUCAGGCUCAAUAGAGGUACAACACAAACCUCAGAUUCAUCUGAUUAAUCUCUUAAUAUUUGAUUCCUUUAGAUGUCAAUGUACUUCAGGCGAUCUUAUUCUUCACGGUUCUCCGUCAGUUUUGUUCCUGUGAUGGUAAUCUUCUGUAGGAUUUGGCACUUCUAAUCUUUAGGGCCUGCUUCUCAAUUGGGUUGGAUUUUAUUUUAUUGUUUUGACGCUGGGAGGAGGGGGGGUUUUACUCUUCUGAUAAUUCCAUCCAUAUGGCAUUUAGGCAAGGACUUGGGCACAACUGGGGCAGGGUUGCAUUUUUGAUCAAUUAGCAAUGCACUUCAUCAAAUGUUUGGAAAUUCUUUCAUUUAUUACUGCAAGCUAUGUAGGGGUCCUUUUCCACUUUUAAAUCGCAUCCUGUUUAUGCUGACCCAUUUUAUAGUAAGAAAAGAUGAAAGCUCCUAUUAGGACAUUUUAUGUUUGUUACCACAUGUUGAUUUAUUCAUCUAGGACAAAUUAAGUCAGUCUGAGAUUAUGGUAGCUCUUAUAAAAUUUUAUAGAAAAAAUAUGGUGUUGUUGGACGUUAACUAUCAUGAAGAAAUUUAAUGACAUUUUAAAUCAAGUGCAAUUCUUUUGUUGGGUUUCAGUAUUUGUAUUAGACCAAAAUCCUAAACCCCUUAGCAACCCUCAAUGUUCGUGCAAUACACUUUCUACUAUCUUCAAGAUUUGGCAACUGAUAUUGUGGGACAAAGUACACAUUUACCUUCAAGUAAAAAAAUGGUAAUUAGAACUGGCAAGCUUGUUCAGAAGGUAAGGAGUCCCAGCUUAUUUGGGAUUGUGUAGUUUUUUCUUCCUUCAAGUAAAUGUUCAAGCUUCUUUUAGAUGAAUUUUUAAUAUAACUACAUUUAUGCAGAAUAAGGAUCUUUUGGGACAUCAAGUAAACAAAAUUUACAUUACCUUUUAAGUGGCCGGUGAACUGUUUGCAUUUAUGCGUAUUGGUUAUGGGGUAUCAGUUGCUUAAGAAUAGCGACUGUAACCUCAACUGAUUUGUCAUCUUGGUUCACUAGUUGAAUAGCUGAUGUGGUGCUUGUCAUAUGCAUAGCUUGUUCAAAGGGUCCCCAACUUUCAUCCUUCCUUGCGUUAUAUUCUUCUUAGUUGUUAGACGAGCUCAAGUUUAUGAAACUGGUUAGUGGUUUAGCUAAUAUUCCAAGUGAAGCUUGUGAUCAAACAGGUAGAGCGUAUACUGAGCCAGUGUAUCUGUUACCUAAAGUAUUUGUUUUGGUUUUUCUGUUUGGUUGCCAAACUUUUGGUGACCUUUUGAAUCCAAGUGUUUAAAAAAACUUUCAUGGUACAAUGCAUCUUCCUGCCCAAUAAUUUCGCAUAAUGUCAACUACAAAAGUAUGUUCCUGUUGAUUUGGUUUUUAUCAUUUGUUGCGGCUGAACUCUGGUUCCUUCCACCAAUCCAUGCACACACAUAGAAAAGAGAUUCAUCCUAGGAGAGUCUUUUGCAGUCUUCUUUGCUCACUGGUGCAGUUUUGUGUUGGGAAUAACUAGUUAUAUUGUUAUCCAUGCCUAGAUGCAUGCAUGCAUAUAAUAGAUGACGCAGGCAGAAUGAAUGAUUUCAAAGCAUCCACUUCUCAUUCUGGAACUUGACCCCAAGCAACCUUACGGUACAAGUUUUUUACUUUUUAUUUGUGGGCGUCGCAUACAUUUUACUAUUGUUUGAGAUGUCACAGGCAACAAGGAUGUGAUGGUCAUCAUAAGGAUUUUCCAACCACUCAUACAAUUCUCCAAGGGGUUUGAUUUGUUACGGUGCGUUUAGCAUUUGAUGAUGCAGUUCAGUCCUUUAGGGGUAUGGUUUUUUGUUUCAUUGCCUUUUGAAGUAAAAUAAAGCCCGCCAUUUGUAUC